rnacentral:lncRNA from 1 species
AAAUAAACUUAUGGAAAACAGACAGAUUUUGAUCAAAUUUUGAAGUGAAAAAAGGUCGAUUGAAAACGCUCAGGCUGACCAAAAUGUGAUCACAAAAGGAGAUGAAAAAAUAAAAUGAGCACGUCAGGUUAAACUACGUGAAUCGUAGAUUAAUAAAACUGACGUCUGCAAGCUCGAUUUUGAAAUCUUUCGUCCUCUAAUU